CUCGCCGCCGGACCGAGGCGUCGGGUCGACGCGGAGUCAACCCCGUCGACGCCGAGGGUCCGGGACGAGACGAAAUGUGGCCGCAUGCGCGGCUGAAUCGCAAC
rnacentral:ncRNA from 1 species